rnacentral:lncRNA from 13 species
AAAAAUUCCAUCACUGUGGCUAGUCUUUCAAUUGUAUAGCAUCUUACUUAAAAUUUUUAACCAAAAAUUUUGUUUUAAUCUAAUGAUGCAGGCCAGUAGGUUUGUGUACGCCCAUCUGACCCCAGCCAUAAACCCAGAUGGAGAAGCUCUUGGCUGAGGGAGUGAAAAAUGACUGAAAGGAUAGAUGAGUGCAUUUGAAGGAUCAUGCUUCCAUGGAGCAUGUUGUCGAGCCUCUUGGAAUAAAAACAGAUACAAUCAAACAGAAUCGCCCAGUCCUCAGUUGUACCAUUUGGUAGUGCCGGUGUUCCAUCUGAAGUGUGACUCUGCAGGCCGCAAGCUCACAAAUUCUAAGAGGAGUGGGGGACCACACUGACCAAUGCGGCCCACUUCAGUUGUGAAGUUAAUUUGCUCAGCAAUUGGCCAAAGCAUAUAAGGGUCAGUGAUGUCUUUUAGUAGAUUUAGUAAUAUUAUCUUCCCAAGCCCUAAAAUGCUCAAA